GCUGGAGUGGCCGGACCGCCGCCCCAGCUCAAGGACCCGUUAGACCCGCAAACCGCAGUCCCUGCCCCGCGGGCUUCCUUUACUUUUUGGGAGUGGGGCGGGGUGGGGGGGCUUCCCUGCUUUUUCCACCACAGCCGCUUCUCCCGCCGCAAUGGGGCUGAUUCUUAUAAAAAGUUGUAUUAAAGAGCUGACUGCAGCCGAGAAUCGAUCAACAAAAACGACCAGCCUCUCUGGGUCUAUCCAUGGCCUUCUCAACAGAUGACUUCAAGUUGAUUUCGUGCUUUAUUUCUUAAGAAUAGUGACUAACCUACGGGAUCUGAUUCAAUUUAUUAGGAACACAGUGCCACCUUCCAAAAUUACUUACCUAAGAGGACUGAGCCUGCUGUCCCUGGAGCAGUUAGCUAAAACAGUGCCUCAGUACGGAGUGUACCUGUGUUAACUUCUAGAGUGCUGUUUCCGGCAGCUGCUGAAAUCCACGCUGAGGUUAUCAAGCUCAUCCUACAAAAUAAAGCAAGUUCUUUGCAAUUUAAA